AGAUGGUUGGAUGGCAUCAGCGACUCGAUGGACAUGGAUUUGGGUGGACUCCAGGAGUUUGGUGAUGGACAGGGAGGCCUGGCAUGCUGCAAUCCAUGGGGUCGCAAAGAGUCGGACAUGUCCAAGCAACUGAACUGAACUGGGCCAGGAGAAACACCAAACGCCCAAAGGUCUCCCCAAAUGAAGAGCAUCCUACAGCGAGAAAUGCCCAGCAUAAAACUUCACAGACCACUUUGGACACAUUGAAACAGUGUUGGCUCCGGGGAUUCCUGGAGCCGAAAAAACUGGAAGAGGCUGGAGCCUCUGGAGAGAGCUCGGUGCUGGGACACCCUGACCUCAGAUGUCUGGUCUCCAGGACUGAGAGAGGACAGGCUUCUGUUGUUCAGAGCGUCCGUGUGGUCGUUUGUCACCGCUGCCCAGGAAGCCCAUGCAGCUGGUGGGCGGCUCCCUGCCCCGAUCUAAAGCCUCCAGCCCAUUAGGGACAGCCCCCUGCACCUAUGCCGUCUGCACGAAUCCGUGAGGUUCAUGCUGAGCGCUGGCGCUCCUGCUCGGCACAGGCAUUUUGGAGGGUGUGGGCAGACACCACCACGUGCCCAGCCCCCAGCCAGGUGCCAAGUCUCUAGUGCGCUCCGUGGGGGGACGGGUAAGGGCUCUGCCCUUGGUUGCUGGGGGAAGAGACUCCCCAGACACCCUCGAGGGAGGAGGGGCAGGAAGGUGGUGAGUGGCCGGCUCAGGGCCCCGCCCACCCGGGC
ensembl:lncRNA